UCUUUCCUCCCCGUACUUCAAAUGUGUACCUCCCACCAAUUAUUCAAACUCGACACACUCAAAAACGAAGAAAAAGAGAAAAAAGAUUCAGAAGAGAAGAAACGAAGACCAUCACCACCAUCAUGAAGCUUGUUUGGUCUCCAGAAACUGCUUCUAAAGCUUACAUAGACACUGUUAAAUCGUGUGAGAAAUUGAAGGAAUCUGGGGUAGCUGAGCUCCUAUCAGCCAUGGCGGCCGGUUGGAACGCGAAAUUCAUCGUGGAAUCGUGGUGCCACGGCGGCCCCAUAGCGACAAGCGUAGGCCUAGCAGUUGCGGCUCGCAACACCGGUGCAAGGCACGUGUGCAUAGUCCCGGACGAAAUCUCAAGGCUAAAGUACACACAAUCAAUGGCGGAGAUGGGGGUGGCGCCGCCUCCGGAGGUGGUAAUCGCGGGGUCGGCGGAGGCGGCGAUAGGUGGACUGGUGGGAUUGGACUUUCUUGUGGUGGAUUGCAAGCAAAGGGACUUUGCUAGGGUUCUUAGGGUUGCUAGGGUUAGCAAUAGAGGUGCAGUUUUGGCAUGCAAGAAUGCAUGGCAAAUGAGUAAUAAUUGGAACAAUCUUUCAAGGUUUAGAUGGAACGUUGUUCUUGAAAAGGGGACACGUGUCGUUAGAUCCGUGUUCUUGCCUGUUGGCAAGGGUUUGGAUAUUGCUUACAUAGGCAGCAAAAGUGGUGGCGGUGGUGCUGGCGGCGGCAGUGGCAGUGGCAGCAGCCCCGACGGCGGUGCAUCAAGUGGUAGAAAGGGUCCUAGCCGUUGGAUCAGGCACAUAGAUCAACAAUCAGGGGAGGAACACCUUUUCAGAGAGUGAUUAUUAUUAUUAUACUAUUGAUCAUCAAUAUAUGUAUGUUAACAAGGUUGGAAACAAAUAAAUAAAUUUGUAAAUUAAACAUAUAUCAUCAUAUAUUAUAUGAACUAUGGAGUAGUAUUUUUUAUGAA